GACGAACGCUGGCGGCGUGCUUAACACAUGCAAGUCGAACGGAAAGGCCCUGCUUUUGUGGGGUGCUCGAGUGGCGAACGGGUGAGUAACACGUGAGUAACCUGCCCUUGACUUUGGGAUAACUUCAGGAAACUGGGGCUAAUACCGGAUAGGAGCUCCUGCUGCAUGGUGGGGGUUGGAAAGUUUCGGCGGUUGGGGAUGGACUCGCGGCUUAUCAGCUUGUUGGUGGGGUAGUGGCUUACCAAGGCUUUGACGGGUAGCCGGCCUGAGAGGGUGAACGGCUACAUUGGGACUGAGAUACGGCCCAGACUCCUACGGGAGGCAGCAGUGGGGAAUAUUGCACAAUGGGCGGAAGCCUGAUGCAGCAACGCCGCGUGCGGGAUGACGGCCUUCGGGUUGUAAACCGCUUUCGCCUGUGACGAAGCGUGAGUGACGGUAAUGGGUAAAGAAGCACCGGCUAACUACGUG
rnacentral:rRNA from 1 species